CAUGCAGUCGAGCGGUAACAGAUCCAGCUUGCUGGAUGCUGACGAGCGGCGGACGGGUGAGUAAUGCAUAGGAAUCUGCCCGAUAGUGGGGGAUAACCUGGGGCAACCCAGGCUAAUACCGCAUACGUCCUACGGGAGAAAGGGGGCUCCGGCUCCCGCUAUGGGAUGAGCCUAUGUCGGAUUAGCUAGUUGGUGAGGUAACGGCUCACCAAGGCCACGAUCCGUAGCUGGUCUGAGAGGAUGAUCAGCCACAUCGGGACUGAGACACGGCCCGAACUCCUACGGGAGGCAGCAGUGGGGAAUAUUGGACAAUGGGGGAAACCCUGAUCCAGCCAUGCCGCGUGUGUGAAGAAGGCCCUCGGGUUGUAAAGCACUUUCAGCGAGGAAGAACGCCUAGCGGUUAAUACCCGCUAGGAAAGACAUCACUCGCAGAAGAAGCACCGGCUAACUCCGUGCCAGCAGCCGCGGUAAUACGGAGGGUGCAAGCGUUAAUCGGAAUUACUGGGCGUAAAGCGCGCGUAGGUGGCUUGAUAAGCCGGUUGUGAAAGCCCCGGGCUCAACCUGGGAACGGCAUCCGGAACUGUCAAGCUAGAGUGCAGGAGAGGAAGGUAGAAUUCCCGGUGUAGCGGUGAAAUGCGUAGAGAUCGGGAGGAAUACCAGUGGCGAAGGCGGCCUUCUGGACUGACACUGACACUGAGGUGCGAAAGCGUGGGUAGCAAACAGGAUUAGAUACCCUGGUAGUCCACGCCGUAAACGAUGUCGACCAGCCGUUGGGUGCCUAGCGCACUUUGUGGCGAAGUUAACGCGAUAAGUCGACCGCCUGGGGAGUACGGCCGCAAGGUUAAAACUCAAAUGAAUUGACGGGGGCCCGCACAAGCGGUGGAGCAUGUGGUUUAAUUCGAUGCAACGCGAAGAACCUUACCUACUCUUGACAUCCUGCGAAUUUGGUAGAGAUACCUUAGUGCCUUCGGGAACGCAGAGACAGGUGCUGCAUGGCUGU
rnacentral:rRNA from 1 species